CCUACGGGCGACAGCAGUGGGGAAUAUUGCGCAAUGGGCGAAAGCCUGACGCAGCGACGCCGCGUGAGGGAUGCAGGUCUUCGGAUCGUAAACCUCUGUCAGCAGGGAAGAACGGUCACUGUGCUAAUCAGCAGUGAAUUGACGGUACCUGCAAAGGAAGCACCGGCUAACUCCGUGCCAGCAGCCGCGGUAAUACGGCGGGUGCGAGCGUUAAUCGGAAUUACUGGGCGUAAAGCGCUCGUAGGCGGUAUGGCAAGUCAAGGGUGAAAUCCCCGCGCUCAACGUGGGAACUGCCUUUGAAACUGGCAAACUGGAGUGUGUGAGAGGAUAGUGGAAUUCCAUGUGUAGGAGUGAAAUCCGUAGAUAUCUGGAGGAACAUCAGUGGCGAAGGCGACUAGCUGGAACAUAACUGACGCUGAGGAGCGAAAGCGUGGGUAGCAAACAGGAUUAGAUACCCCUGUAGUC
rnacentral:rRNA from 1 species